UGACCUCGGAUCAGGUAGGGAUACCCGCUGAACUUAAGCAUAUCAAUAAGCGGAGGAAAAGAAACCAACAGGGAUUGCCUCAGUAACGGCGAGUGAAGCGGCAAGAGCUCAAAUUUGAAAUCUGGCAUCCACCGGGUGUCCGAGUUGUAAUUUGGAGAGGCAUCUUCCUGGUUAGGCGCUUGCCUAUGUUCCUUGGAACAGGACGUCGCAGAGGGUGAGAAUCCCGUGCACGGCAAGCCCGCCUAUACCGCUGUGAAGCGCCUUCGAAGAGUCGAGUUGUUUGGGAAUGCAGCUCAAAAUGGGUGGUAAAUUUCAUCUAAAGCUAAAUACCGGCGAGAGACCGAUAGCGCACAAGUAGAGUGAUCGAAAGAUGAAAAGCACUUUGAAAAGAGAGUUAAAAAGUACGUGAAAUUGUUGAAAGGGAAGCGCUUGAGACCAGACUCGGGCCUUGGUGAUCAGCGGUCCUUCUGGGCCGUGCACUCGCCUUGGCUUCGGGCCAGCAUCGGUUGGGAUGGCGGGAUAAAGGCCCUGGGAAUGUGGCUCCUCUCGGGGAGUGUUAUAGCCCUGGGCGCAAUGCCGCCAAUGACUCCCGACCGAGGAACGCGCCUUCACCGGCACGGAUGCUGGCGUAAUGGUCUUCAGCGACCCGUCUUGAAACACGGACC
rnacentral:rRNA from 1 species